AUACUUACCUGGCGUGGAGGUUAACCUUGAUCAACAAGGAGGUUCCUCCAGGGUGAGGCCCUUCCAUUGCACUUCAAAAACGUAAAGAAAAUGGCCUAAAAAAACACACACUUCUAAUGUGAAACUCAUUAGACUAUGGUUACAUUAGUGUCUAGAU
rnacentral:snRNA from 11 species